GAUGAAGAACGUAGCGAAAUGCGAUAAGUAAUGUGAAUUGCAGAAUUCAGUGAAUCAUCGAAUCUUUGAACGCACAUUGCGCCCGUCAGUAUUCUGGCGGGCAUGCCUGUUCGAGCGUCAUUACGCCCCUCAAGUCCCCUGUGGACUUGGUGUUGGGGAUCGGCGAGGCUGGUUUUCCAGCACAGCCGUCCCUUAAAUUAAUUGGCGGUCUCGCCGUGGCCCUCCUCUGCGCAUUAGUAAAACACUCGCAACAGGAGCCCGGCGCGGUCCACUGCCGUAAAACCCCCCAACUUUUUAUAGUUGACCUCGAAUCAGGUAGGACUACCCGCUGAACUUAAGCAUAUCAAUAAGCGGAGGA
rnacentral:misc_RNA from 1 species